rnacentral:rRNA from 1 species
UGGAUUGGUGCCUUCGGGAACUCUGAGACAGGUGCUGCAUGGCCGUCGUCAGCUCGUGUCGUGAGAUGUUGGUUAAGUCCCGUAACGAGCGCAACCCCUAUCCCUGGUUGCUAGCAGGUAAUGCUGAGAACUCCAGGGAGACUGCCGGUGACAAACCGGAGGAAGGUGGGGAUGACGUCAGGUCAUCAUGGCCCUUACGGCCAGGGCUACACACGUGCUACAAUGGCGCGUACAGAGGGCUGCCAACUCGCGAGAGUGAGCCAAUCCCUUAAAACGCGUCGUAGUCCGGAUCGGAGUCUGCAACUCGACUCCGUGAAGUCGGAAUCGCUAGUAAUCGCGAAUCAGAAUGUCGCGGUGAAUACGUUCCCGGGCCUU